AGGGUUUGAUUCUGGCUCAGGAUAAACGCUAGCGGCAGGCCUAACACAUGCAAGUCGAGGGGCAGCAGGGAAGUAGCUUGCUACUUCUGCUGGCGACCGGCGCACGGGUGCGUAACGCGUAUGCAACCUACCUUUAACAGGGGGAUAAUCCGAAGAAAUUUGGUCUAAUACCCCAUAAUAUUGAUUAAGGCAUCUUGAUCAGUUGAAAGUUCCGACGGUUAAAGAUGGGCAUGCGUUGUAUUAGCUAGUUGGUGAGGUAACGGCUCACCAAGGCUACGAUACAUAGGGGGACUGAGAGGUUUUCCCCCCACACUGGUACUGAGACACGGACCAG
rnacentral:rRNA from 1 species